GACGUAGGGUGCGAGCGUUGUCCGGAUUUAUUGGGCGUAAAGAGCUCGUAGGCGGUCUGUCGCGUCGGAUGUGAAAGCCCGGGGCUUAACCCCGGGUCUGCAUUCGAUACGGGCAGACUAGAGUGUGGUAGGGGAGAUCGGAAUUCCCGGUGUAGUGGUGGAAUGCGUAGAGAUCGGGAGGAACCUCGAAAGCGAAGGCAGCCGACUGGGGGAUGAUUGACGCUGAGGGACGAAAGCGUGGGGAGCGAACAGG
rnacentral:rRNA from 1 species